GGGCAGGUGGCGAAAUUGGUAGACGCGCCAGGCUUAGGACCUGGUCUCGCAAGAGGUGGAGGUUCGAGUCCUCUCCUGCCCA
rfam:Candidatus Kaiserbacteria bacterium RIFCSPHIGHO2_02_FTLL_54_11b rifcsphigho2_02_scaffold_14012, whole genome shotgun sequence.